UUAAUAAAUGAUUCUAGCUACUCAGUACACGCGCACACACGCGCACACACCCAGACGCACACAUACACAGGCGCGCACACACACGUUAAAUAUUCAUCAGCUGGGCUGUGCUGUUAGUCUUGGGCUGCUCAUGGAGGCAGUAAACGCAGACUCAGACGCUUGCUGGCACAUUACUCAGACACACACACACACACACACACACACACACACAGCCCUAAAAGUCUGCACAGAUUUACCUACAGUGUAUUUUUGUAUGAUACACUAUAAGGAAAAGCAAGAAAAAAUCCAGAAAGAGAGACGCAAAGGGUUAACACACUGAACAGUCUGCUGCACAAUAGACCACGUGUGUGUGUGUGCGUGCGUGUGUGUGUGUGUGUGUGUGUUCAUGUUCCAGGAAACAGGAUGUCCUUUUGUGCAGCAGCACCGUGAAACUCUACAGCAGGCCGAGCUGCGCUCUCGUGUCUACUUCAUCAUGAUGAUGAUGACGAUGCUGAUGGAGUCUCUCCCAGGAAUCCUGGGUGUGAAGUCUGAACACAUCCUGAGCAAAAAUCAGGACACACACACAUGAUUUUAGGAGCUGAAGAACCAUGAAGAACAUGUGGAGAACAUACGAACACGUGUCCACACAGACGGGCUGAAGCAGAAGUGCUGGAGGUGUGAAGAGACUUCACUCGAGUUGUAUAAUGUCAGGACUGAGGAUCAGGAGAAGAUUGGAACUCUAAGCACCGGUCACUUUGUCCAAAAUAAAACUUUUUUUUAAUGAGCUUGACUGGAUCUAGAUUGUGCAAGCAUUUAUAUAAAUGAGCCCAACUCUAACACAGUAAAUAAAUAAAUAAAUAAUCUAUGAGGUGAGGA